ACUCCUACGGGAGGCAGCAGUGGGGAAUAUUGGACAAUGGGCGAAAGCCUGAUCCAGCCAUGCCGCGUGUGUGAAGAAGGUCUUCGGAUUGUAAAGCACUUUAAGUUGGGAGGAAGGGCAGUAAGUUAAUACCUUGCUGUUUUGACGUUACCGACAGAAUAAGCACCGGCUAACUCUGUGCCAGCAGCCGCGGUAA
rnacentral:rRNA from 1 species